rnacentral:rRNA from 1 species
UGCGCAGGCGGGCUUGUAAGUCAGUGGUGAAAUACUGCCGCUUAACGGUAGAACUGCCAUUGAUACUGCGAGUCUUGAAUAUGGUUGAGGUAGGCGGAAUGUGUUGUGUAGCGGUGAAAUGCAUAGAUAUGACACAGAACGCCGAUUGCGAAGGCAGCUUACUAAGCCAUUAUUGACGCUGAGGCACGAAAGCGUGGGGAGCGAACAGGAUUAGAUACCCGGUAGUCC